CCGCAUAAAGUGAUCAAUCAUUUAAUUGGGUUAAUGGGUAUUUAGUUUAUUAUGGGCUAAUUGUGUAGAUACCAGAUUGCAAUUCUAAUUUUAUGAGGGGCUAAAUUAAAAAAAUUAUAAUAUCUAUAUAAAGGGGUUAUGUUCCCUAAUUUAAGGGUUACAUUCUUUGUUUUCUUAAUCCCCAUCUAGAGAGAAACAACAUGAGAGACCCUUUAGAUUAGAAGAUCUCAAACCCUAAUUCAGAAUUUCUUCAUGGAUUUCAGGUAUGCUUUCAUUUAUUCUUCUUGUUAAUCUCCUCUUUGAAUUAAUCAUGAUCCUUAAUUAUAUUUUUAGGGUUUGUUCUUGAUUUUCGUUGUAAACCCUAGAUCUAUAUUGUAUGAAUUAAAGAGUUUAUAGAACAACAAGUGGUAUCAGAGCAACCGUGAUUAAUUCUUAGGGAUUUAUGUUUGAGUUGAAGAAAUUAGGGUUUUCAUCUUAAUUUUUUCUUAAGAUCAGUUGCACGUAUCAACAUUGUAGCGUGCAUGUUUAAUCAAUCUUACUUUGUUCAAUCUAGAUCAAACUCUUGAUUCAAAUGUUAUAUCUAUUAAUUCAUUUCAAUUUUGGUAUAUGAGGUCGUAGUUAUGCAAUUGGGUGUGCUUGCUUGUUUUUGUUUCGAAUUUAAAGAUUGUGCUGGGUUUGUGCAUUUGUUUUUGUUUCUUUUGUUCGAGAGGAUUUUUUAGGCUCUUUGGCUAUUUUGAAUUAGCAGUGUGAAUUAAAGUGUCUGUGUUAUUAAUUAAAGCUGAGGUUGAUGCAAAAUUUGGUUUCAUCAUGUGCUUUGCUAAUGGGAUCAUGUUAUGCUUGUCUCCGCCAUCUUAAGAGUGGUUUAUGCAUGAAUGUAGAUGGAACUAAGGAGGAUACAUAGUUUGAAGAUGAAAUGUAGUUUGUUAAAGAGGCUUGUCAGGUUCUUUUGAAUUGCAUGGAACCUGGUUUGUUCCGGUUCACAGGACGUGUACGGGAACAUGGUACACCACUCAACAGGAAUCAGGUACGAGGGGGUAGGCUUACAUUGUACACCAGGAAACAUGGUAUGCUUUAGGUUUGGUUCUUAAAUGCUAGUUGAUAUCAGAAAUGGUAAUAGAACCUUGAGAAUCAAGUUGCAAUUAAGAUGUGCAUAAUUUAUAUGCUUAAUUUCCUACGUUUUUGUUGUUUAUUCUUUUAAAAAGAGCUUUUUCCCCGACAUUUUAAUUGGUUUUUGAAUUCUAAAUCUGGUCACUGGAGUUGUUGAAUCGGGUCGUGUUCCACGCGAAUCUAGGAUGAUUGAAGCCGGGUCGUAGUUCGCUAUAGUGUACCAUGUUCCCGACUUCUUAUUGAAUCCAUUAUUUGAAGGUCUCAUGCAUGCUACUGGGUUUUUCUUAGUUUUCUAAAUAGGCAGGUAAUACGGUGGAUCAGAUCUCUCUGUCAGUUGUAUGUGUGUCACUGCUUAAUCCUUCAUCUCCGUUUCCUGGAGGAUGUGAUGAGGGAUUUUCCUGUGGGAACGCUUCAUGGGAAUUUGGCAAUGGCUUACGGAGGAGAAGAAUGCUGCAAUCCGACCAAACAAUGAACCCCGAUGACAACUUUUGAGUACAACUCUUGCGUGAAUCAUUUUCCUAUUGUUGUUCAACAGUAGCUGAUCAGAGAUUCAGAAGUAUUCUUAAAUAUGUCAUGAUUUAGUUCUUUUGAAUAUCCAUGCCCUUAAGCCACUAGCUUCGUCUCUGUGCGUGCUUUUUCUCAGCGAAAAACGGCUUUUGCUGUUUAGCACCUGUUGGUUAAACUUUUAGCCUCAAUUCCAUUUUAACAUCGACACUGAGAAAAAUCACCAUGAGGUCGAACCUUUCUCCCAACUUUAUCAACUUAUGCAUUAGCUUUACUGUUUAUUUUAUAUUAUUACGUAGUAGGGGAAUUUUUGUAAUUGUUAUAUUUUUGUGUAAAACCUUGAUUUCAUCAUUAUUUUAUUGGGGAAAACAAAUUAAUGUUUAUAGCUUU